rnacentral:rRNA from 1 species
CCUACGGGUGGCAGCAGUAGGGAAUCUUUCACAAUGAGCGAAAGCCUGAAGGAGCAACGCCGCGUGCAGGAUGAAGGCCUUCGGGUUGUAAACUUCUUUUAUUAGAGAGAAAUAUGAGGGUAACUUAUGCAUAAGGAUCGGAGAACUACGUGCCAGCAGCCGCGGGGAAACGCAGGAGCCGAGGAUUAUACGGAGUGACUGGGGGUAAAGAGUUGCUGAGGUGGCGUAAUAAGUAGCGAGGGAAAUCUGGUGGGUUAACCAUUAAGACUAUUAGCUACACUGUUAAGCUUGAGUACGGUAGAGGUAAGUGGAAUUUUUAGUGUAGGGGUGAAAUGCGUAGAUAUUAGGAGGAACACCGAUAGCGAAGGCAGGUUGCUGGGACGGUUCUGACACUGAGGCACGAAAGCGUAGGGAGCAAACAGGAUUAGAUACCCCUGUAGUC